rnacentral:rRNA from 1 species
AUCACCGCCCUACUUUGCUCCUCUUCCUCGCGGAUUCUUCUUAACGGCGUCGCUGGCAGCCCCAUCAUCCAUGGCCAGGGUCUCCGACAGGGGGACCCUAUAUCCCCCUUGCUAUUUGUGCUCGCGAUCGACCCACUCCAAAGAAUUCUUGAGAUGGCGGCAACUACAGGGCUAUUUCAUAAAAUCCGUGGCCGU